rnacentral:rRNA from 1 species
GAUGAACGCUGGCGGCGUGCCUAACACAUGCAAGUCGAGCGAAUGGAUUAAGAACUUGCUCUUAUGAAGUUAGCGGCGGACGGGUGAGUAACACGUGGGUAACCUGCCCAUAAGACUGGGAUAACUCCGGGAAACCGGGGCUAAUACCGGAUAACAUUUUGAACCGCAUGGUUCGAAAUUGAAAGGCGGCUUCGGCUGUCACUUAUGGAUGGACCCGCGUCGCAUUAGCUAGUUGGUGAGGUAACGGCUCACCAAGGCAACGAUGCGUAGCCGACCUGAGAGGGUGAUCGGCCACACUGGGACUGAGACACGGCCCAGACUCCUACGGGAGGCAGCAGUAGGGAAUCUUCCGCAAUGGACGAAAGUCUGACGGAGCAACGCCGCGUGAGUGAUGAAGGCUUUCGGGUCGUAAAACUCUGUUGUUAGGGAAGAACAAGUGCUAGUUGAAUAAGCUGGCACCUUGACGGUACCUAACCAGAAAGCCACGGCUAACUACGUGCCAGCAGCCGCCGUAA